GAUGAACGCUGGCGGCGUGCCUAAUACAUGCAAGUCGAGCGAACAGAUGAGGAGCUUGCUCCUCUGACGUUAGCGGCGGACGGGUGAGUAACACGUGGAUAACCUACCUAUAAGACUGGGAUAACUUCGGGAAACCGGAGCUACUACUGGAUAAUAUAUUGAACCGCAUGGUUCAAUAGUGAAAGACGGUUUUGCUGUCACUUAUAGAUGGAUCCGCGCCGGAUUAGCUAGUUGGUAAGGUAACGGCUUACCAAGGCAACGAUGCGUAGCCGACCUGAGAGGGUGAUCGGCCACACUGGAACUGAGACACGGUCCAGACUCCUACGGGAGGCAGCAGUAGGGAAUCUUCCGCAAUGGGCGAAAGCCUGACGGAGCAACGCCGCGUGAGUGAUGAAGGUCUUCGGAUCGUAAAACUCUGUUAUUAGGGAAGAACAAAUGUGUAAGUAAAUAUGCACGUCUUGACGGUACCUAAUCAGAAAGCCACGGCUAACUACGUG
rnacentral:rRNA from 1 species